UUGGAUCAAAAUAGAAAAGAAAGUAAUUAUAAUACUAAGAUAAAUAGAGGCCGACUUCGAGUAUAAAGGAGUUCAUGAAACUUCCACAUCCACCAAAAUUCCAACAUACAUCAACAAAAGCAGGCGCUUCUUCUAACUAAUUUGAUAACAUUCCCUCCAAACGAAGAGGGUAAAGGAAAAGAAGAAAACUCCAAAGCAAUUGUUCAUAGGGACUAACAGAUAAUAAAUUAAAUAA
rnacentral:misc_RNA from 1 species